CAAUAGCGUAUAUUAAAGUUGUUGCAGUUAAAAAGCUCGUAGUUGGAUUUCGGGGCAGCCUGGCUGGUCCGCCGCAAGGCGAGUACUGGUCAGCCGCCCUUCCUCUCGAAAGCCCCGACUGCUCUUCGUUGCAGUGGUCGGGUAGUUCGGGACGUUUACUUUGAAAAAAUUAGAGUGUUCAAGGCAGGCCUACGCCUGAAUACAUUAGCAUGGAAUAAUGGAAGAGGACCUCGGUCCUAUUUUGUUGGUUUCCAGGGCCGAAGUAAUGAUUAAGAGGGACAGUUGGGUGCAUUCGUAUUUAAUUGUCAGAGGUGAAAUUCUCGGAUUUAUGAAAGACGAACAACUGCGAAAGCAUUUGCCAAGGAUGUUUUCAUUAA
rnacentral:rRNA from 1 species